rnacentral:rRNA from 1 species
GGAGUCACGCCAGAAAUCUUACCCGGAGAGACAGCAGAAUGAAGAUCAAGCUGAAGACUUUACCAGACAAGCUGAGAGGUGGUGCAUGGCCGUCGCCAGCUCGUGCCGCGAGAUGUCCUGUUAAGUCAGGUAACGAGCGAGAUCCCUGCCGCUAGUUGCUAUCAUUAUUCUCAGGAAUAGUGGGGCGAAUUAGUGGGACUGCCGUUGUUAAAACGGAGGAAGGAAGGGGCUACGGCAGGUCAGUAUGCCCCGAAACUCUGGGGCCACACGCGGGCUGCAAUGGUAGCGACAAUGAGUUCCAAACUCGAAAGAGAGUGGCAAUCCCUAAACGCUACCACAGUUAUGACUGAGGGCUGCAACUCGCCCUCACGAAUAUGGAAUCCCUAGUAACCGCGUGUCAUUACCGCGCGGUGAAUACGUCCCUGCUCCUUGCACACACCGCCCGUCGUUUCAUCGAAGUUUGCUUUUAGCGAGGUGAUGUUUAAUUGGCAUUAUCGAACUUGAGGUAAGCAACGAGGGAAAAGUCGUAACAAGGUGACCGUAGGGGAACCUGCGGUCGGAUCA